AGCGAACGCUGGCGGCAGGCUUAACACAUGCAAGUCGAGCGGGCAUCCUUGUGGUGUCAGCGGCAGACGGGUGAGUAACGCGUGGGAACGUGCCCUUCGGUUCGGAAUAACUCAGGGAAACUUGAGCUAAUACCGGAUACGCCCUUUUGGGGAAAGGUUUACUGCCGAAGGAUCGGCCCGCGUCUGAUUAGCUAGUUGGUGAGGUUAUGGCUCACCAAGGCGACGAUCAGUAGCUGGUCUGAGAGGAUGAUCAGCCACACUGGGACUGAGACACGGCCCAGACUCCUACGGGAGGCAGCAGUGGGGAAUAUUGGACAAUGGGGGCAACCCUGAUCCAGCCAUGCCGCGUGAGUGAUGACGGCCUUAGGGUUGCAAAGCUCUUUUCUCCGGGACGAUAAUGACGGUACCGGAGGAAUAAGCCCCGGCUAACUUCGUG
rnacentral:rRNA from 1 species